GGACUUUUUUGUUGUAGGAUCUGGCGAUCCUUUGCUGAUAUAGCUGACCAUGGAAGAUAGCCGCGGUUCACCUUUCGUCUAUUAGAGAUAAUUGGUGAUACCUGUCUUGUACCCAUUAGUUUUCAUCCAGCUGAGCAUCGAUCAACGCUCUGAGAGAUUCCAUCUCAACUUCUAUGGGGAGCACUGCUUCCAUCCCAUAGGUUAAAGCGUAGGGGGUUGCCCCAGUUGAAGUACGCAUUGUGGUCCUGUAGGCUAACAGAGUCAGAGGCAAUAGGUCAGGCCAAUCUUUGUGGUUGACAGACAUCUUUUACAUAAUCUUCUUGAUGUUUUGUUAGCCGCUUCAACAGCACCGUUCAUCUUCGGACGAUAGAUGAUAGAGUUAAGAUGUUUGAUGUGGAAUUUACUGC
rnacentral:lncRNA from 1 species